UUCUACUUAUCCUAAGCUAGCUAGCAGCAAGGUUACCGUUAGCUAAGACUAACGUUAGCUGAUAAAUGCGGUACUCUUCUAGCUAAGCAGAUUGAGUUGAAUGCAAUGCAAAUCCUGCAAAUUCACCAACCUCAAUGAAGCUGUUCUCCUGAAGCACUAGGCCUACUGUCUGUAUCACAGAGGCAGGCAGAGUUCUAUCGGAUCACCAACAAGAACCUACUAGACGACUUUAGAGCAGCCAUUAAUCAGCACACUCUAGGACUGCUUGGACUCUAUCGGGCUAGGAGGCCAGCUUUUCCGUCUGAGAUGGAUCAACUCCUUAAGGGACUGGAUGAAGAGACCAAUGACAUCACAGCACACACAGGCUGCAGCCUUGAAGGGCCUUCCUUGUAUAUCUGUGAAAGUCAUGAGAAGCUGUUCAGGAGUUGUCUGGUGAGGGGUUAUUAGCAACUCCUGUUUAUGUUGUACUUGACUAGGAUUGUUACCAAACAGUUAACACUGCCCAUUUUUCCAUUCCAGUUUAUCUAUCCACUGUUCUCCUUGCCCAUUUUUAUCUAAAUGCAUGAAGUGUCUCAAAUAGAUGUACUUUGCUGUUAAUAUUCUUUAUUUAAGCUGCAAUAUUGAGAAAUUUGGUUUGGUGCUCUUUAGUGCCAUCUAAAAGCCCCAAAAUUGCAACUGCACUGAAACGUAUGGUUGUGAAACGGAUAAGAAACUCAGUCAGAAAUCUGUCAUCAAAUCCAUGUUUACUCAUUAAUUAAUCUAGAUACCUAA